rnacentral:rRNA from 1 species
UUUUAUUUGAGAGUUUGAUCCUGGCUCAGGAUGAACGCUGGCGGCGUGCCUAACACAUGCAAGUUGAGCGAUUUACUUCGGUAAAGAGCGGCGGACGGGUGAGUAACGCGUGGGUAACCUACCCUGUACACACGGAUAACAUACCGAAAGGUAUGCUAAUACGGGAUAAUAUAUUUGAGAGGCAUCUCUUGAAUAUCAAAGGUGAGCCAGUACAGGAUGGACCCGCGUCUGAUUAGCUAGUUGGUAAGGUAACGGCUUACCAAGGCGACGAUCAGUAGCCGACCUGAGAGGGUGAUCGGCCACAUUGGAACUGAGACACGGUCCAAACUCCUACGGGAGGCAGCAGUGGGGAAUAUUGCACAAUGGGCGAAAGCCUGAUGCAGCAACGCCGCGUGAGUGAUGAAGGCCUUCGGGUCGUAAAACUCUGUCCUCAAGGAAGAUAAUGACGGUACUUGAGGAGGAAGCCCCGGCUA